GCCAGCAUGGUGGAGUGGUUUGAGCAUUGGACUACAGCUCUGGAGACCAGGGUUUGAUUCCCUGUUUGAGCA